rnacentral:rRNA from 1 species
AUGGUGAACCCCGAGGUGAGGUCCGUCUUCACGACGCGAGCCAGAGUCGUCUCCUUCAUCCGCAGCUUCCUCGACGAGCGCGGGUUUCUGGAGGUGGACACCCCGAUGAUGAACGUGGUGGCCGGUGGCGCCGCCGCGAGGCCGUUCGUCACGAACCACAACGACCUCAACAUGAAGCUGUACAUGCGCAUCGCGCCGGAGCUCUACCUGAAGCAGCUCGUCGUCGGGGGGCUGGACUGCGUGUACGAGAUCGGGAGGCAGUUCAGGAACGAAGGCAUCGACACGACGCACAACCCGGAGUUCACGACGUGCGAGUUCUACAUGGCAUAUACGGAUUACAACAACCUCAUGGAGCUCACGGAGGAGAUGCUGGGCGGCAUGGUGAAGGAGCUCACGGGCGGCUACAAGGUACAGUACCACGCCAACGGGACCGACAAGCCGCCUAUCGAGAUCGAUUUCACGCCUCCGUUCGCGCGAAUCGACAUGAUCAAGGGACUGGAGGACAUGGCCGAUCUCAACAUACCGGAGGAGGAUCUGUCGACUGACGAUGCCAACGAGUACCUGAUGGAGGCCUGUGCCAGGUACGACAUUACGUGCCCUCUUCCACACACGACGGCACGGCUGCUGGACAAGCUUGUCGGGCACUUCUUGGAGGAGACAUGCGUGAACCCGACGUUCAUCAUCAACCAUCCGGAGAUCAUGAGCCCACUGGCCAAGUCCCACAGGGACGAGGCCCGGCCUGGACUGACCGAAAGGUUUGAGCUGUUCAUCAACAAGCAUGAGGUGUGCAAUGCCUACACGGAGCUGAACGACCCCGUCGUGCAGAGGCAGCGGUUUGAGGAGCAGCUGAGGAAUCGUCAGGACGGUGACGAUGAAGCAAUGUCCAUGGACGAAACGUUCUGCACUGCCCUUGAGUAUGGCCUGCCGCCGACCGGAGGCUGGGGUCUGGGGAUUGAUCGCCUCACCAUGUUGUUGACGGAUUCCCAAAACAUAAAGGAGGUCCUCCUGUUCCCGGCCAUGAAGCCUCAAGACAGCUAG